AGGAUACAUACCCAGACACACAUACAGAUACACAGAUACACACACAGAAACAUAUAUACAUACACUGACACACUUAAGGAUACAUACCCAGACACACAUACAGAUACACAGAUACACACACUGACAUACAGAUAUACACACACUGACACACAGAUACAUCUUGACACUGUCAGGUCUUACCUGAGGUGGGAGUCCGGUAGGCAGAG